GGGCUGGCCUAGCCAAAAGGGGCGGGCGAGCACGGCCCGCGGGCGGCGUUCGCUGGAGCUGGUGGACCGGGCGGCUGACCGAGGGGCGGACGCGCGGCGGGGCAGACCGCUGGGGACUGCGGGCGGCGCUGUGUCCGUCGCCAUGACAGAGACAAGGUCUUGCUGUAUUGCCUAAGUGUGGUCUUGAAUUCCUGGCAUCAAGUGACUCUUCUGCCUCUGUCUCCCAAAGUGGUUUUCUUUUCUUGAAGUGACU
rnacentral:lncRNA from 1 species